rnacentral:rRNA from 1 species
UCGUAGGAGGCCUGAGGAGGGAUCAUUA